rnacentral:rRNA from 1 species
CGCGUAGGUAAUCUACCCUUAUAUUUGGGAUAACAUUGGGAAACUGGUGCUAAUACCGAAUGGUCUUCAUUGCUUUGGGGCGAUGGAGUAAAGGUGGCCUCUUCAUGAAAGCUACCGUGUAGGGAUGAGCCUGCGUACCAUUAGCUAGUAGGUGGGGUAAUGGCCCACCUAGGCGACGAUCCGUAGCUGGUCUGAGGGGACGAUCAGCCACACUGGGACUGAGACACGGCCCAG